ensembl:lncRNA
AUCCGAUACCGCGUUCGUGGGAGAUUAUCUAGGACUUAGCUGCUGAGCAAUCAAGAAGCAAACUGACUGAGCUGAGCUGAGCUGAAUCUCAUUUCACAUGCCUCCCCAAGGUGAGCUCUCGAGGACCUAAGACGAACAGAGGGUCCGAGCCACUGACAGGAGCCUCUGAGCAACCAUCAGACGCGUAGGUUGUUUCCAUAUCUUUGGCGACUGUGGAUAAUGCUGAAGGAACAUGGGAGUACAGACACUCAAGAUCCAGAUUUCAUUUCCUUCAGAUAAAUACUCAAAAGUGGAAUUGCUGAAUAACAGGGUAGUUUUAUCUUUAAUUUUUUGAGGAGUCUCCAUACUGUUUUCCAUAGUGGCUUCAUCAAUUUACGAUUCCCAACAGUGCACAAGGGUUUCCUUUUCUCCACAUCCUUACCAACGUUGCUUUUUGAUAAAACAAUGUCUGCUAUUGCUUUCUUUUUGAUAAUAGCCAUCUUAACAAACAUGAGAUAGUAUCUCAUUGUGAUUUGGGGUUUGCAUUUUCUUAAUGAUUAGUGAUGUUGAACACUUUUUCCUAUACCCAUUGGCCAUUUGUGUCCUUUCUAUUGGAAAAUAUCUAUGUAGGUGUUUUGACCAUUUCUUAACUAGAUUAAGUUUUUUUUGCUAUCAAGUUGUAUGAAUUUCUUAACAAUUUUUGAUAUUAACUUCUUAUCAGAUAUAUGGUUUGCAAAUAUUUUCUACCAUUCCAUCUUCAUUUUAUUGAAUUUUUCUUUCACCAUGCAGAAGGUUUUCAGU